GGGUCAGUAGGUUGGUCGUGCCACCGGUACGUACUGGUCUCACUGAUUCCUCCUUCCUGAAGAACCGUAAUGCCAUUAAUUUGGUGUUACGGGGAAACAGGACUGUUACUUUGAAAAAAUUAGAGUGUUUAAAGCAAGCUAACGCUUGAAUACAUUAGCAUGGAAUAAUGAAAUAGGACGAUCGAUCCUAUUUUGUUGGUUUCUGGGAUUGACGUA
rnacentral:rRNA from 1 species